GAUGAAGAACGCAGCGAAAUGCGAUAAGUAGUGUGAAUUGCAGAAUUCAGUGAAUCAUCGAAUCUUUGAACGCACAUUGCGCCCUUUGGUAUUCCAAAGGGCAUGCCUGUUCGAGCGUCAUUUGUACCCUCAAGCUUUGCUUGGUGUUGGGCGUCUUGUCUCUAGCUUUGCUGGAGACUCGCCUUAAAGUAAUUGGCAGCCGGCCUACUGGUUUCGGAGCGCAGCACAAGUCGCACUCUCUAUCAGCAAAGGUCUAGCAUCCAUUAAGCCUUUUUUUCAUCUUUUGACCUCGGAUCAGGUAGGGAUACCCGCUGAACUUAAGCAUAUCAAUAAGCGGAGGA
rnacentral:misc_RNA from 1 species